CCGCGAAACUGCGAAUGGCUCAUUAAAUCAGUUAUCGUUUAUUUGAUAGCACCUUACUACUUGGAUAACCGUGGUAAUUCUAGAGCUAAUACAUGCUAAAAAUCCCGACUUCGGAAGGGAUGUAUUUAUUAGAUUAAAAACCAAUGCCCUUCGGGGCUCACUGGUGAUUCAUGAUAACUUCUCGAAUCGCAUGGCCUUGCGCCGGCGAUGGUUCAUUCAAAUUUCUGCCCUAUCAACUUUCGACUGCUGGGUCUUGGCCAGCAAUGGUGACAACGGGUAACGGAGGGUUAGGGCUCGACCCCGGAGAAGGAGCCUGAGAAACGGCUACUACAUCCAAGGAAGGCAGCAGGCGCGCAAAUUACCCAAUCCCGACACGGGGAGGUAGUGACAAUAAAUACUGAUACAGGGCUCUUUUGGGUCUUGUAAUUGGAAUGAGUACAAUUUAAAUCCCUUAACGAGGAACAAUUGGAGGGCAAGUCUGGUGCCAGCAGCCGCGGUAAUUCCAGCUCCAAUAGCGUAUAUUAAAGUUGUUGCAGUUAAAAAGCUCGUAGUUGAACCUUGGGCCUGGCCGGCCGGUCCGCCUCACCGCGUGCACUGGUUCGGCCGGGCCUUUUCCUCUGGCGAGCCCCAUGCCCUUCACUGGGCGUGUGGGGGAACCAGGACUUUUACUUUGAAAAAAUUAGAGUGUUCAAAGCAGGCCUAUGCUCGAAUACAUUAGCAUGGAAUAAUAGAAUAGGACGUGCGGUUCUAUUUUGUUGGUUUCUAGGACCGCCGUAAUGAUUAAUAGGGACAGUCGGGGGCAUCAGUAUUCAAUUGUCAGAGGUGAAAUUCUUGGAUUUAUUGAAGACUAACUACUGCGAAAGCAUUUGCCAAGGAUGUUUUCAUUAAUCAGGAACGAAAGUUAGGGGAUCGAAGACGAUCAGAUACCGUCGUAGUCUUAACCAUAAACUAUGCCGACUAGGGAUCGGACGAUGUUAUUUUUUGACUCGUUCGGCACCUUACACGAAA
rnacentral:rRNA from 1 species